rnacentral:rRNA from 1 species
AUUGAACGCUGGCGGCAGGCCUAACACAUGCAAGUCGAGCGGAUGAAGGGAGCUUGCUCCUGGAUUCAGCGGCGGACGGGUGACUAAUGCCUAGGAAUCUGCCUGGUAGUGGGGGAUAACGUCCGGAAACGGGCGCUAAUACCGCAUACGUCUUGAGGGAGAAAGUGGGGGAUCUUCGGACCUCACGCUAUCAGAUGAGCCUAGGUCGGAUUAGCUAGUUGGUGGGGUAAAGGCCUACCAAGGCGACGAUCCGUAACUGGUCUGAGAGGAUGAUCAGUCACACUGGAACUGAGACACGGUCCAGACUCCUACGGGAGGCAGCAGUGGGGAAUAUUGGACAAUGGGCGAAAGCCUGAUCCAGCCAUGCCGCGUGUGUGAAGAAGGUCUUCGGAUUGUAAAGCACUUUAAGUUGGGAGGAAGGGCAGUAAGUUAAUACCUUGCUGUUUUGACGUUACCAACAGAAUAAGCACCGGCUAACUUCGUG